UACAGAGGGUGCGAGCGUUGUCCGGAAUCACUGGGCGUAAAGGGCGCGUAGGUGGUGGCUUAAGCGUGCGGUGAAAGCUCGGGGCUCAACCCCGAGUCGGCCGUGCGAACUGGGCUCACUGGAGCAUAGUAGAGGCAGGUGGAAUUCCGGGGUGUAGCGGUGGAAUGCGUAGAGAUCCGGAAGAACACCGGUGGCGAAGGCG
rnacentral:rRNA from 1 species